UUUUUUUUUAAAACAGCAAAUGAGCCAGAGCAUCAGUAUUUAUAGAGGAGCCCUAAACACAAGGGAAGGCUUUUGAAGAAAAUUCUCCAUCUCUGGAAAUGUGAUGCACAUAAACAAACUGGGAGUGAAAAGAAGUUGAGGACAGAAGAGGAAGGCUUUAUAACUGGAUGAUUGUACAGCUCAGACAUGACCAAAUCUUUACUGAGCUCCUCAAGGAAGUUGAUUAUUUCAACUUUUCACUUUGUAAAGUUUUCAUUAAGAAUGCUAUUCCUCUUCUGAACUAAAAUUGACCAUCCCUACACCAUGAACCGAAGCUCUCAGGCCAACUACUGGCUUCUAAAUCCAUAUGAACUUAGAAAUGGAACUCUUUAAGGUCAUGACUGCAGCAGUUGUGUUCUCUCACUGCUGAACCAUGUAUUUUUCUUCCAGCCAAAGCCACAGCCUUUUUUUCCAGAGCUGAGAAUCCCUCAGUUCCAUCCCCCCCAGAGGUGAAGUGAGUGCUGUGGAAUAACAACUUGGACACACCCACACGGCUCCAGGUUCCACUCUCAUCCCAUUGAAGACUAGGACAAUUAUAGCUCCAACAUGGCAUGAAAUGAAACUGUUACAGUCCACAGAUUGUUUGAUAGCCCUUUCGUAUAAUAAAUGAUGAAUGAAAAUCCUAACUCAUUAAAUAAUAUUCAGAAUAUGAAACAGAAAUGUCUAUUUUAUAGACUCCAACAUUUUCUAUAGGAAGUUUAUUUCUGAUUAAAGUAGUUGAUAAUUAUAAAGUUGCAAAUGAAUGCUGAAUGGGAGAAUAUAUAAAAUGUUACUUUUUUGUGGCUGAUUGUAUUAGUCAUGCAGACUAUAAAUUACUGAUGAUUAAUGUGCACCUGCUCUGAAUAAAAUAUAACAGCAUUUUA